rnacentral:misc_RNA from 1 species
GAGAGGCAGAGGAGCGGCCAACGACUCGACCCAGUUCACUGUGGCUGGCAGGAUGGUGAAGAAAGGUUUGGCGUCACCUACUGCCAUAACCCCAGUAGCCUCACCCAUUUGCGGUAAAACAAGAGGCACCACACCCGUUUCCAAACCCCUGGAAGAUAUCGAAGCCAGACCAGAUAUGCAGUUAGAAUCGGACCUGAAGCUGGACAGGCUGGAAACCUUUCUAAGAAG